rnacentral:rRNA from 1 species
CCUACGGGCGGCUGCAGUGAGGAAUAUUGGUCAAUGGACGAGAGUCUGAACCAGCCAAGUAGCGUGAAGGAUGACUGCCCUAUGGGUUGUAAACUUCUUUUAUAUGGGAAUAAAACGUUCCACGUGUGGGAUUUUGUAUGUACCAUAUGAAUAAGGAUCGGCUAACUCCGUGCCAGCAGCCGCGGUAAUACGGAGGAUCCGAGCGUUAUCCGGAUUUAUUGGGUUUAAAGGGAGCGUAGGUGGAUUGUUAAGUCAGUUGUGAAAGUUUGCGGCUCAACCGUAAAAUUGCAGUUGAAACUGGCAGUCUUGAGUACAGUAGAGGUGGGCGGAAUUCGUGGUGUAGCGGUGAAAUGCUUAGAUAUCACGAAGAACUCCGAUUGCGAAGGCAGUUCACUAGACUGCAACUGACACUGAGGCUCGAAAGUGUGGGUAUCAAACAGGAUUAGAUACCCUAGUAGUC